rnacentral:rRNA from 1 species
CUACGGGCGGCUGCAGUGGGGAAUAUUGCACAAUGGAGGAAACUCUGAUGCAGCAACGCCGCGUGGAGGAUGACACUUUUCGGAGCGUAAACUCCUUUUAUAUAGGAAGAUAAUGACGGUACUAUAUGAAUAAGCACCGGCUAACUCCGUGCCAGCAGCCGCGGUAAUACGGAGGGUGCAAGCGUUACUCGGAAUCACUGGGCGUAAAGAGCGUGUAGGCGGGUUAAUAAGUCAGAAGUGAAAUCCUAUGGCUCAACCAUAGAACUGCUUUUGAAACUGUUAACCUAGAGUGUGGGAGAGGUAGAUGGAAUUUCUUGUGUAGGGGUAAAAUCCGUAGAGAUCAGAAGGAAUACCGAUUGCGAAGGCGUUCUACUGGAACAUAACUGACGCUGAGCCGCGAAAGCGUGGGGAGCAAACAGGAUUAGAUACCCGCGUAGUC